rnacentral:rRNA from 1 species
UACGUAGGGGGCUAGCGUUGUCCGGAAUCAUUGGGCGUAAAGCGCGUGUAGGCGGCCCGGUAAGUCCGCUGUGAAAGUCCAGGGCUCAACCUCGAGACGCCGGUGGAAACCGUAAAGCUAGAGUCCGGAAGAGGAGAGUGGAAUUCCUGGUGUAGCGGUGAAAUGCGCAGAGAUCCGGAAGAACACCGGUGGCGAAGGCGGCUCGCUGGGCAGUGGCUGACGCUGAGGCGCGACAGCGUGGGGAGCAAACAGG